GAUGAAGAACGUAGCGAAACGCGAUAGUUAAUGUGAAUUGCAGAAUUCAGUGAAUCAUCGAAUCUUUGAACGCACAUUGCGCCCGUCAGUAUUCUGGCGGGCAUGCCUGUUCGAGCGUCAUUACGCCCCUCAAGUCCCCUGUGGACUUGGUGUUGGGGAUCGGCGAGGCUGGUUUUCCAGCACAGCCGUCCCUUAAAUUAAUUGGCGGUCUCGCCGUGGCCCUCCUCUGCGCAGUAGUAAAACACUCGCAACAGGAGCCCGGCGCGGUCCACUGCCGUAAAACCCCCCAACUUUUUAUAGUUGACCUCGAAUCAGGUAGGACUACCCGCUGAACUUAAGCAUAUCAAUAAGCGGAGGA
rnacentral:misc_RNA from 1 species